rnacentral:rRNA from 1 species
ACGUAGGUGGCGAGCGUUAUCCGGAUUCACUGGGCGUAAAGCGCGUGCAGGCGGUUCGGUAAGUUGGGCGUGAAAUCUCCCGGCUCAACAGGGAGAGGUCGUUCAAUACUACCGGACUUGAGAGCGAUAGAGGAAAAUGGAAUUCCCGGUGUAGUGGUGGAAUGCGUAGAUAUCGGGAGGAACACCAGUGGCGAAGGCGGCUCGCUGGGCCUACUCUGACGCUCAGACGCGACGGCAUGGGGAGCGAACGG